AGUUGCUGCAAGUUGAACUUGGUCUCCUCUUCUGCUCUGUAGCAGUGAAGGGGGAGAGAUAUGGAAGUGAACUUUCUGUCACUAGCCUAAACCUCUGAUGAGAAAACAGAGAAUUCUACACCAUUGGCUAUUAAUUUACUGCACACACAUGCUCUAGGUAUUGCUAAUGUGGAAGAGGACUGGAAUAUCAUACCAGAAGAUUUGGAUGACCUUGAAAACUGAAAUAAUAGAAAUGGAAUGAAAUUUAAUACUGCAAAGUUCAAGGCCAUGCACUUAGGGACGAACAAGAGUUUUUCCUAUAAGCUGGGGACUUGCCAGUUGGAAGAGAAAGACCAGGAGAAUUGUACUGGUGAAUCACAGGAGAACUAUGAGCCACCAGUGAGGUUUGGCCAUGAAAAAGGCUAAGGUAAUCCUAGGAUGCAUCAGGAAAAUGCCCAAGUGGAGUUUGAAGGACUGUUCACCAGAUAGAGCUCUUGCUGGAGUUGGAGUGAUCUCUGAAAAAACUAAUUGCAAACAGCUGGAGUAACAGGAACGAGGAUCACCUUAAGGAAACAUCUGAGCUAAGAAGAACUGUGAACAAGCAUUCUCAUUUUAGCCUUACCAUUGCCCUCAACGUGCCUAUGUUUUCUUUCUUUCUCCAGCUGAGGGAGUGAGGGGUUGGGGUGAGUAGAGAAUCCUCAGCAUUUCUAUAGGGUUGUUGGUUUUUUGCUGUUACAGUGAUAAAUCUUCCAGGAGACUAAGAAUUCCACUGACAGAUUUUAAAGUAUCUGCUGCUGACAUGCUUUUGCAAAAAGGACAAGGCUUUGAAAUAUGAAUAGAAUGUA